rnacentral:lncRNA from 1 species
UCAGCAGUCCAUAUUGUGCGAUCGAAUGAUGCAAUCUGUGAAAUAUGGCUAAAAAGGCUGCCAGAACUUAAAAUUAAAUCUAGAGGUUCAUGUAGAUUCAGAAUAUAGACAGAACCACCAGCUGCUCCUGAUCCAAAAGUGGUCAUCAUGUGCAGUGUCAAGGAACACAAAUGUGAUCAUAGUUAAUAAUUUUGGGUAGGGAAAAAAAGGACACCAGAUAAGACAAACAGAAUGCGAUAAAUACAAAAGUUGGUUUGGAUACAAAGCAUGGCGAAAGGAAGAACCAUCCUGAGUGGUAUCAGAAAAAUUCCCACUAAACUUCUUUAUGCAGGAAAUACUGGAUGAAAAACCUGGAAGAGACUCUGCCAAGCACCAUAUACCAGCAAUUCCAGAAUCGUCACAUGUUUUGGG